rnacentral:rRNA from 1 species
AUGGCCGCAUGGUGGGUUUGUGGAUUCCUCCCGCUCCUAGCUGUGGCCGCUGCCGGUGCAGAUGGGGCGAAGGGGAUCUCGGAGCUGUUGAUACGGCUGUCGACAGAGAAUGGGCAUGCCCCUACCCCUCCGGCUGAGGAAGGGGUGAUGAAGUGGUUUGUGCUCAUUGCGGGCUCCUCCGGCUGUGGCAACUACCGGCACCAGGCCAAUGUGUCCCAUGCGUACCAAAUCCUGAAGAAGGGAGGCCUCAAGGAUGAGAACAUUGUGGUGUUUAUGUACGAUGACAGCGCCGAUAGCCCUGACAACCCAAGGCGUGGAGUCGUCAUCAACCAUCCUAAAGGCAAAGAUAUUUACCAUGGUGUUCCCAAGGAAUUACUAUUACCUAGUUACUGGGUGUUUCCCUUUUUAAUUCAAAUAAGGCUGAUGAUCAACUUAUCAUGCAUUGCAGGACUGCACUCGAAGGUGAUAAACAACAAACCAAAUGAUCACAUCUUCAUCUACUACAUGGAUCAUGGGUCUCCUGGUUCACUUGGUAUGCCCAACGGACCAAAUGUUUAUGCCGACGACUUCAUCAAAGUGUUUCAGCAAAAGCAUGCUUCCAAAAGCUAUUCGAAAAUGAUCAUAUAUGUUGAAGUGUGUGAAAGUGGCAUCAUCUUUGAGGGAUUGUCGCCGCAAGAUCUUAAUAUUUAUGUUACAAUGGCAGCAAAUGCGGUAGAAAGUAGAUGGGCAGCAUAUUGA